GAGUGAACGCUGGCGGUAGGCCUAACACAUGCAAGUCGAACGGCAGCACAGUAAGAGCUUGCUCUUACGGGUGGCGAGUGGCGGACGGGUGAGGAAUACAUCGGAAUCUACUUUUUCGUGGGGGAUAACGUAGGGAAACUUACGCUAAUACCGCAUACGACCUACGGGUGAAAGCAGGGGAUCUUCGGACCUUGCGCGAUUGAAUGAGCCGAUGUCGGAUUAGCUAGUUGGCGGGGUAAAGGCCCACCAAGGCGACGAUCCGUAGCUGGUCUGAGAGGAUGAUCAGCCACACUGGAACUGAGACACGGUCCAGACUCCUACGGGAGGCAGCAGUGGGGAAUAUUGGACAAUGGGCGCAAGCCUGAUCCAGCCAUACCGUGUGGGUGAAGAAGGCCUUCGGGUUGUAAAGCCCUUUUGUUGGGAAAGAAAAGCAGCAGGUUAAUACCCCGCUGUUCUGACGGUACCCAAAGAAUAAGCACCGGCUAACUUCGUG
rnacentral:rRNA from 1 species